rnacentral:lncRNA from 1 species
CCCUGUUUUGAGAAAUUCCUGACAUAAAGAGGGCAUAGCAGCCUUGCUAGAACACUUCCUUUCUGUCAUGGUCCGCCCCUGGUUUUCCCAUUCACCUGCCUGCCACCUGUUAGAUUUCAGCUUAUUUCUAAACUGUUCGGACAGACUCUGCGUUGUGUAUUUUCAGUCGUAGUAGUAAUUCUUGAAGUCGAAAUCAAAGCAACUUGACAGGUUGGAUCAGAGGGUUGAAUAGAUGGUUUAUUCCAGGAUGUAAUACAGCGAGAUACAGACUUAGGUUGAAUAAUCUAUAGUGGACCCAUUGAGGAGCCGUUUGAUGACUUGUUCCUUGGCUGUCGAACCCUCUUCUCGUCGAACCAAAAGGUUGGGGCGAGUAUUAUACAAAAAGGGGAAACAUGAAUAACACGUGAACAGACGCACUCUCAGCCUUCAUAAGGUAUCUGGCCCUGGCUAUGUCCCGGAGGACCAGGUCGGUUCAACCUUGUUGAGACAUAACAAUAGCAGAAUGUUGGAGAUAACACCUUGUAUCAGUAUGAGAGGCCCUGGCUUGCUCCUAGACUAGAAAUGUGAACAAAAGAGAGACACUAAAAUACACCAACAUUCUACAUUCCUCCCUCUUGAUCAUACUAAACGUAGUUUAAAGAUCACCCACAAAAUGAGAAUUCAGUGUAUCUACUGGUAAACCAUUAACAAUUAACUAAAUCAAUGAAAGAAAGCAUAAAAGGCAAUAGACAAGUAAAUUCAAAACAUACACAAGUAAACCAGGUGUAGGCUACUAUAAUAAAGAAAAUAACAAACUCAUUAGGUUACUCAUGAUUAAACCAAAACAUAGAAAAUGUAAAGAAUCAAGAAAGUCAACUGUCCAGACACCUCCCUCUGCUUGGCAGAACAACAUCACAGACAAUACUGCAAGACUCAGUUGGUUUUGAGUAGCAGUUGCAACAGAGUUCUUUUCCAGUUGAUGGCCACCGCAUGUGUGAUGGGGGAUGAGGAUGAAAGUUCGUAGUAGGGCAUCAGGACAAACACAGACACAGUUCAGUUCAAGGACUCAACAAGUGUCCGUGUCUCCUGGAUCUCCCAGAGCUUUCCCGCACUCCCGAUUGACUUUGUCUACUCCACUCUGCCUGUUAAAGAACCCUCGCCUGUCCGACCUCCUGCCUGCCGUCCAGUCCCUGUCGGUCUGUCUGCUCCUCUGUCCCCGUCUCUUGAUCCACCUGCCUGACUUCCUGUUAUCGACCCUUCGCCUGCCUGACCUCCCGCCCGACGUCAAGUCCCUGUCGGUCUGUCUGCUAUCCAGUUCCCGACUCCCGAUCUGCUCUUCUACCCUCCCGUUGCCGACUCCUCGCCUGCUGACCCACCGACGAUUCCCUGCCCACCUGUCGGUGACUUUACCGUCUGCUUUCUGUCUACCCGAUCCUGUUCCAGUAUAAAUCCUUGAAACUGUCCUACAACUGUCGUCUGUCUGUGCACUUGGGUUCUGCCUAAACCCCCGUUGUCCUAUAGAGAUGGGGCUAAAAUGCUGGCUAGAAUGCUGCCUAGUGUUUGAAGCAUUCAGAGUUUGGAACGACUCGCUAGUGUGGUAGUGCUUCUGCCUCCGCUUUUUAGUAUUGCUCCAGUGUUAAAUAUUUUAAUAUUUUAAUAGUUGAAAUUGUUAUUGGCGACAGUAGUUUGCUUUAACACCACCUAUUUGCAUAUUAAAACAAAUCAAGCCAUGCAAAAUAUAGCCGAUCUUUAUUGCAAAAACGUUGCAAGAAAUCAAACUUGUUAAUUUUUUUCAUUUGCAUGGUUAAUCUAGAAAAAGCAAUACGGCACAAUAGUUCUGAAAAUGUUCAAAUAACUUCACUUGUGUAAAGCAAUGUGUAUUGCUUUCUAUCGGCAAUUUUUAAAUAUCCCGCAUAGCGUGCGAACUAGGGAUGGGCAAAAUGAUUCUUUUCCGGGAACUAGUUCUUUCAGUUCAGUUCACUAUAACGAUUCGUUUAUUUGAUUCGUUCGUUUUGAUUCGUUCGUUACGUCAGAUUACAUCUUAAAAAAAAAAAUUAUAAAAAAGUUUUUUUUUAUUUUUUUUUUUUUUUUAAUUGGUCGUGGGCCCGGAUACGCAGACCGCAGUACGCCGUUUGGAGAUGCCUGCCAUUUAGUAUGUCGAACGUCCCACCAAUAUUUAUACCACUUGCUUACUCUCUAUAUUUCAUUCAUGGUUUUACAUUUAUAAUUUUAUUUUACUUUACAUUUAAUUCUUCAUUGUUCAGGCAUUACAGAACUUGCAUGGUCAUAAAUAAAAAAUACGAACUGCAGUUUAAUUUCUUUGUUUGUUCUUAAAUUGACGUAGAAUGGAGCAAAGACUCCUGGGAUUGGGAAAUGCGUUUAUCCAAUAAACAGAUGGAGGUCAAGUCUAUUUUCGAAAAAAUGUAGGGGGAUAUAUGAGUCGAAUGGUAUGACCCAAGAUACGUCAGACAGAGAAAGCGCGCAUAUUCGACGGUACCGCCUUGUCAUUGGUUUACCCAGGUGCCAUUCCAACACCAUUGCUACUGUGAGAAUAGCGUGUUAGAUAAGUACACCCCCCCCAUUUCGCCAUAAUUAGAUGAACAGUCAUUCUUCUUGUUUUUGUUUCAUUUUGUAAACAUUGUGCUCCAUUACCUUUACACAGGCAUAGAAUGUAAUACAUGUAGUACUUAAUUUCCGCCACAGGGUGGCGGUGAUCUAUUGGUGCACUCUGUCCCGUGAAAGCUACACAUUUUGUAGAGCAGUGUUCAAACAUGGCGGACAGAACGUGUCUUAACCAAAUGUGUACUUUGCCUGUGUAUGUUUACAGAACUCAUUAAAGGAACUACUCUUCAAGUCACGCUUGAGUUUAUUUUCAAGUGUGCAACAAAUUUGGUGGCAGCGGUGG